rnacentral:rRNA from 1 species
UACGUAGGGUGCGAGCGUUGUCCGGAAUUAUUGGGCGUAAAGGGCUCGUAGGCGGUUUGUCGCGUCGGGAGUGAAAACCUCGGGCUUAACUCGGGGCUUGCUUUCGAUACGGGCAGACUAGAGGUAUGCAGGGGAGAACGGAAUUCCUGGUGUAGCGGUGGAAUGCGCAGAUAUCAGGAGGAACACCGGUGGCGAAGGCGGGUCUCUGGGCAGUAACUGACGCUGAGGAGCGAAAGCGUGGGGAGCGAACAGG